rnacentral:hammerhead_ribozyme from 1 species
ACCCAGCUGACGAGUCCCAAAUAGGACGAAACGCGCGUCACUGGAU